ACAUUUCAGUGUUAUUGCAAUCGAGAUUGUAGCAUUUUUCAGAUUGUAGAUUGUAUAUAGAUGGUAGAUUUCCGAAUACAUAUCUUGCAAACUUAUAAUACAAUUAAAUAGCAAUCAACGAUCUCACACGCUUAAUGUGUGUUCAUCACGAACAAUCCCGCUUCCGGUUUAUGGCCAAACGAAACAGAAUAAAUGGAAAAUUGCGUCAUGUAAUUUCUAAACACGUAUCAUUCGCAAGGAAUAAAAUGCACGAAUCUUUUGCAUCUCGAUUUAUAUUUUCGUAACCUUCGAACGUGCUUCGACAAAAAGCGGAAGCUGCAAGCUGCGGACUUGUUUAUAAAAUUUGUUAAUGAAAUACACGUACCGUUCCCUAAGAAUUCUAAAUAUUACCGUUUCGUAUCAAUCAACAUGCGAAAGUUUACCGAACAUUAUUGCAUUUAUAAAUUAAAACGUCCGUAAACAUUCCGUCGUUACGAAAAUUGUUUCAAUACCCAAAUUGUUAAAUCUCUUGGCAUCGAAGUAUUUUCUUUCGUUUCAUGUGAAAAUGCAUAAACGAAAUAAAGGAGAACUAUGAUUAAAAAGAAAAUUGCGCCAAUGCUUUAAAUAGUAAUGUGUUGCGCAUAUGUACGAACGUGCAAUGUAUAUGUAUGUAUAUAAAUACAUAUAUUAUACUUCCUUCGAAAGAGUCAUCGUGUUCUACCAUAUGGUUCUCAUACUAAAAGAUCUGCCUUUUCCGCUUUAAAGAGUAUUUCAUGAAGUGUUGAUAGGUUCGCUUAAACCACGAAAACCGAGGAAACAUUGUAAAUUUCAACGGACAGCAAUGCAUAGCACUAAGAAGUCCUAUUCCUCUUUAAACUAUUAGUUGAAAACAACGUUUUACAAAUUGUUAUCAUUUACAGAUAGCGUGACUACUUAUUCAUAUAAAAUAAUUUUCUGCUUGCACAAAUAUAUAGCCUAGAUUUUGGAUUCCUGAAGCUAUCUAUAAUCCUUUCUUGAACAAUUAUUUUUCCUGGAAUAUAACCUGGUACCGAUGGUCCUAAAGGUCCACAUGGUUCUUCUACACUGGCUUCUUCAAUUUUUUUAUUACUUAUUUCUUCAUUGUACCUUAUAGAUUUGGCAUUUAUAUUAGUUACAUCUAUAGGUGCAUAACCCAAAUCUCUGUAAAUAGUUAAUAACAUAAUAAAUAAAUAUAUUUUUUGCAAAUGUU